CUAGGAGGAGGCUCCUGAGUGUCUGCCUGUGCCUUCACUGUAGGGCGGACGAUCUGAUUGAUUUCCUUCAUGAAAUUCAUCAUAUCCUGUUGCAUUUGCUUCUGGAAAGCAGAGACCUCAAUGGACGCCGCUUUACGGACGCUUCCCUUCCUCAUCGCUAGUGAGAUUGUGUUGGUCGCCGCGGGGAACUCCGUCGCUACUUUCAUCUUCUUUGGCCGGACUACAUGUGUGUUGCUUCCAGCAACCUUUUCCACAAGGACCACGACCGCUGGAUGUUGUGUUCCUAGACUUCUUCUUCCGACGCCCUUGAUGGGCCGCGCCGAACCAGGAUAUUUCUGUCUCCUGUCGGGGUCCCGGUCGUGGGCAUCUCAGCGAUCAUCCUACGUGGCUGCGUCUCUCGCCUCUUAGUGGGACUUCUACGAUUUGCUCUUGGUAGCAAUUAUCCAGGACCACCACUAGUUGUCUUUUUAUUAUGUUUUCUUUGGGCGCCACUCUGUUAUGUCUCGACUUAUUUUUGGUGAUCCAACCAUCGGAUUCCGGCUAGCAAUCGGAUUUCUCAAGCACUUGAUGACAACUUAAAAAAUGAAAGGAAACAAGGACUGCGGACCUGCUGUUAAUGGCCGCGGAAUAUACCCCCCUUCCUUGAGCUGCUGUAUUUUUUUAAGCAACUCCCCGACACUGGCUACUGGGUCUGUUAUGCGUCACCUCACCCCAUUGUUAACACUCUACUCGCUCAUUUUCUUUUCCACUUUAAUUCACAAAAUGCUUAUAAAUAACAUUCAUUUAACUUCACAAUUCCCUAACCUGGGUACCAUAGGGACGAUUACAUCACACAUGAAUA